rnacentral:tRNA from 1 species
UUGAUUAGAAGCCAAAAUCUAGGCAUGUCACUGUUAAUGACAUUAUUGAAAUUUCUAUAUUUCCAAUCAAA